AUCACUGAUGUACAGAAAUGCAUUUGAUUUAUGAAUGUUGGUUUUAUAUCCUGAUACUUUGCUGAAUUCAUUUACUAGUUCUAGAAGUUUUCUGGUGGAAUAUUUUGGGUUUUCUAGGUAUAGAAUCAUAUUGUCAGCAAAUAGUGCUAAUUUGAGUUCUUUUUUACCUAUCUGUACUCCUUUAAUUUCUUUCAUCUGUGUAAUGGCUCUGGUCCGUGUUUCAGGAAUUAUGUUAAAUAGAAGUGGUGAAAGAGGGCAUCCCUGUCUUGUUCCAGUUUUUAGAGGGAACACUUUCAAUUUUUCUCCAAUUAGAAUAAUGUUGGCCUUGGGCUUAGCUUAGAUAGCUUUUACAAUAUUGAGCUAUGUUCCUAUUAUCUCUAGUUUUUCUAGUGUUUUGAGCAUGCAGUUGUGCUGUAUUUUGUCAAAUGCUUUUUAUGCAUCUAUUGAGAUGAUCAUGUGAUUCUUAUCUUUCAGUCUAUUGAUGUGAUGAAUUACAUUUAUUGAUGUCUGUAUGUUGAACCAACCCUGCAUCCCUGGGAUGAACCCCACUUGAUUGUGGUCCACUAUAUUUUUAAUAUGUUUUUGUAUUUGAUUUGCCAGAACUUUUUUGAGAAGUUUUGCAUUUAAGUUCAACAGGGAUUUUGGUCUGAAGUUUUCUUUUCUUUAUGUGACUUUGUCCAGUUUUGCUCUCACAGUGAUACUAGACUUAUAGAAUGAGUUUGGAAAGGUUCCCUCUUUUACUAUUUCAUGGAAUAAUUUGAGGAGUAUUGGUAUUAGUUCUUUGAAAAUCUUGUAGAAUGUGGUUGUGAAUCAGUCUGUUCCUGGGCUUUUCUUGGUUGGUAGGCUUUUGAUUGCAUCCUCUAUUUCAUUGCUAGAAUUGAUCUGUUUAAAUUGCAUAUAUCCUCCUGAUUCAGUUUGGGUAGAUCAUAUGACUCUAGAAAUUUGUUGAUGUCUUCAAGAUUUUCUAUUUUAUUGGAGUAUAAGUUUUCCAAAUAAUUUUUAUUAUCUUCUUUAUUUCAGUAGUGUCAGUGUAAUAUUUCCUUUUUUAUUAUGAAUUUAGUAAUUUGAGUUUUUUCUCUCUUUCUCUUUAUUAACAUGGCUGAUGGUUUAUCAAUUUUAUUAUUUUUUCAUAGAACCAACUUUUUGUUUUGCCAAUUUUUUGAAUUGUUUCUUUUGUUUUAAUUUUAUUAAUUUCAACUCUUUUUUAAAUAUUGUCUCUAUUCUAAUAUUUUUGGUGUUGAUUUGUUCUUAUUUUUUCCCUAGGGCUUUGAGAUGUAAUAUUAGCUCAUUCAUUCAUUGAUUUUCUGUUCUUUUAAUGAAUGAGCUCAAUGCAAUGAACUUUCCUCUCAGUACUACCUUCAUAGUGUCCCAAAGGUUUUGAUAUGUUGUAUCAGUGUUCUCAUUUACCUUUAAGUAUUUUUUUUAAAAUUUCAUCUCCGAUUUCUUCUGCUAUCCAUUCAUCAUUCAAUAGCAUAUUUUUUUAGUCUCCUGGUGUUGAAGUAGCUUUAAUUUUUAGUUUAUCAUUGAAUUGUAAUUUCAUUCCAUUAUGAUCUGAUAAAAUGCAGGGUAGUGUCUCUAUUCUUUUGUAUUUACUAAGAAUUGCUUUGUGGAAUAAUAUAUGGUUUGUUGUAGAGAAGGAUGCAUGUGCUGAUGAAAAAAAAGUGUAUUCACGUGUUGAUGGAUGGAAUAUUCUAUAUAUGUCUGUUAAGUCUAAAUUAUUGAUUGAAUUUUUAGUUCUAUAUCUUUACUUAGUUUUUGUUUGGAAGAUCUAUUAAGUGGUGGGAGAGGAAAGUUAAAGUCACCCAAUAUUAUUGUUCUGUGAUCUAUUUGAUUCUUCAAAUUGUGAAGAAUUUGUUUGAUGUAUGUAGAUGCUCCGUUGUUUGGGCCAUAGAUAUUUACAAUUAUUAUGCCUUGUUGAUGUAUAGUUCCCUUCAGCAGUAUGAAAUGUCUUUCUUUGUCCCUUCUGAUUAAUUUUGGCUUGAAGUCCACUUAUCUGAUUUGAAGAUGGAAAUCCAUCUUGUUUACGUGAUUCACAUGAGUGAUAUGGUUUUUCCCAUCCUUCAGUCUGUGGUUGUUUUUCCUAGGAGGUGAGUCUCUUGCAGACAGAGUAUUGUUGGGUCUUUAUUUUUUUAAUCCUAUCUUCCAGUCUAUGUCUUAAUAACAGAAAAUCAAUGAUUUUGAUUUUCUUCUAAUAAGUUUUUCUUCUAAUUUUGAAAAUUUCCCAGUAUACAGGAAAAUUUAAAGAGUAAUCUAAUGAACAUCUCUUACCUCUAUUUUUGACAUCUCCAUCCCAUUUUAGAGUAUUCCUAUAGAUUUAUGGAUCCAUUAGUUUCAACAUGCUAGCAUCUUUCUUUCUUUCUUUCUUUCUUUCUUUCUUUCUUUCUUUCUUUCUUUCUUUCUUUCUUUCUUUCUAUGAGGAUUGAACCCAGUGGCACUUAGCCACUGAGCCACAUCUCCAUUCUUUCUCAUAUUUUAAUUUGAGACAGAGUCUAACUAAGAUGCUUAGGGCCUUGCUAAGUUACUGAGGCUGACACUGAACUUGCAAAUCCUCCUGUAUCACUGGGAUUACAGGUGUGCACCACUAUGCCUGGCAGUGAUCAUCUUUUUUUUUUGUCUUAACUAACACUAAUUUAGACAAUGAGAUAUUUUCAAUACAGCUUUGAUACUAUUUGAUGAUGAUAACAUCAUUUGUUUUGGACAAUUUAAGACUUCAAUUAUAGGAAAAAUCUUUUUAUUCUGAUUAUUAAUAGGAUAUAGAAAUCCAGACACAAAUCUUACUAAAUCAUAUUGUUCAGAACUUAAUGUAAUCUUCUUUUAAGAUAUUUCAUCUGUAGUAUAAAGUGAUUUCAAUGUAUUAUAUAAAGACUUGGAUUUCUCUUUUUCACAUGGUGUUCUUUAACAGCUGAAGUGUUUUUAUUGAUAUCUUUAAUAACUUUUUGAAACUUCUCAUUAAUUGUAUUUAUUUAUUUAGCUGUGUUCAUGGUCAAACCCAGGACACUGUGCAUCAAGGACAAGUGCUUGCCUAGCAAACAACCUCCCCAGACCUUCUCAUCUGUUCUAAAAGUUGCCUCUGCACCAUUCAGUUGGAGUAAUUUAUAUUUCUCAGAUUGACAAUGUGCAAUAUAACAAUAAUGAAAAUCUACUUCUAUGAUAGGUUUUUGAAUUUCAAUUGACUCCAGAAGACAUGAAAAUCUUAGAUGACCUCAAUAGGAAUGUUCGAUACUACCCUGUUGUGGAUGUGUAAGUAAUUUUCAUAAAUAUAGUGCCUCAAUUUAUUUCUGGGGAUGAAUAUAACAUCAUUGUUGAAAGCUACCUCAAUACAUGGAGGACAGAGGCCAGUUUGAGUCAGGGAUGAGACAGGAGCUUUUAUGAGUUCUUGUCUCAGAUUCUUGCCAGAGCUCUGUUCUGUGAGUGGAACCAGAGUCAGCAUGGACUUCCACACAUGCACCUGGGCACUUCUCAUUCCGUGGAAUGAUCCAGAUAAACCAAUAUCAUUGCUGAAUGUACACCUGAAAGUAGGUCUCUCUAUCCUAUGAGUUUGUAGUGGAUAUACACUUUUGUUAUCACCAAUAUAAUGUUAUUAAGUAUUUUUAAAACAAGUUUUCUAUAUCUUCUCCCUUAUCUCUUAAUUUCUUAUCAGGUUAAGGGCAUCUCCAUCAACCCUGUGGUUAGAAGCUCUCAUCUCCUCCAUAUAAAAUUGUUCAUUAGAUUCUUUCAAUUUAAUGACUUUGAUAGUUUCAAGUCCCUCUCUUCCUUUUUGCUGCACAUUUGCUCAGACACAGAAACUGCUUUUGUCUACAGAAUAACUGUCAUUAAUGGAUAAAUAGAAACAGUGGGCUUUGAUUUUCCUGAAAUACAGAAAUCUCAAUGCAGAGGAUAAAGAAGUGUUAGAGAAUAGAGACUGAAACUGAAGGACAGCAUGGGGUGAAGCCUUAGUAAAGGGAAUAUAUAGCCAACAAAUGAUCUUUACCCUUCCUUCAUACUCUGAGGUUACAAAAUCUGAGAAAGAAAAUAUAUUAUGAAGGUAAGCAGGAGAACAGAUUCCUCUUGCCUGUGAGAAUUUAAUUCAUAUUAGAAACAAAUGUGAUACUGUAUGAAAGAGAUUAGCAUAAUAUAAAAUUGUAUGUGCUCAAAAAUUUGUAGAUAUGUCAUUACUAAUAUUUUUAUUAGUAUAGAGAAAGAUGAUGAGUUAUGUAGAGAUCAGAGAUUGAGGGAGUGGCAAGCAAUGAAUAAUUAUUGCUACCUAAGCAUUAUAAUAAAUAAUGAUUUUUAUAUUUUAUCUUCUUUGUAAAAUUUACACUUCCCCAAAUUAUAUGGUAAACUCUUAGGAUUUGGAACUCUAUGUUAUAAAUGAAAUUCUUUUCAUUUAUGAAUUUAACAGAACAUGCUGAGUGUGAUGGGCAAUAAGUAAAUGAUUAAUGAAUUAGCACAAUGGAAGUGAAGUUGCAGGCAGUAAUUUACACAGCCUGAAAUAAUUUUCUCAGUGUUGACCAAUGUCUGCACUUGUCCUUGUUCAGCAAGGAAGAAUCAAUUUUCUUUGAGAAAAUUGAGAACUGGAAGUUUCAUUGAGAACUGAAGGAAAUAAGAUGGGAUGAGAAACUACUUUCCUGUUCUGACAGAUGUGAAUGGGGAUAAAAAUAUGUUUAGAUUUUUGCCUUGGUGUAUUCUCUGUAUUAAAUUCCAGGUGAGAAAAUAGAAUUUGAACAAUUUAAUUAUGAUUUCCAGAAAAUACUUAAUAUAAUGUCAUGCUCAUGAAAUUAAGAAAGGCAUAGCUUAUAACCUUGCUCUAAGGAAACAAAAUUAUCAAACAUGACCUAAUGGAUGCUUUUGGAAAUCUCUUUACCAUUCUAGAAAUGGAGUCACUGAGCUGAUAUUAUGCACAUUUUUUUUCUCAUUGUAGAUUUUACGGACAUCCCAAUUAUCCAUAUUUUGAUGAAUGUUGACAUGGAGGCCUUUGUCAUCACUUUGACUUUAACCCCUGCUAAUCAAUAUUGAUGUGGGAGACAUCUCUGGUGGUUGGACACAUCAUUUCUAAUCCAUGCUGUUUGUCAAAUUCACGUUCACUGGAACUCUGCUCACAUAUCAGGAAGAAAAGGGGCUAAAUUUUUGUUGCCUUUAAAAAAUAAUAUAAAGUUAUUUUCCUAUUUAAUACUAAAACCUCAUCCAGCAGCAAAUCUAGGUGAAAUGUGGAGAGAAAGGGGGCUGGAGGGAGAAGGAAAUCCGAGCAAUGCACAUGUAAUUAAUGACUUAGCAUAAUUUGAAUAUGUAAACUUAUAUGGGGGUUGAAAGAAUGGGAAGAGGAAAUAAUAGACACCUAUGAUGGAACUCUUGAAACUGGAGUCUGAAUAGAGGCAUGGGAAAGAAAGGAAAGAGUCACAGAAUUACUUAGUGUGCAAUGUGUUUUAAGUAGUUGUUUUAAUCAGCAUUUUUUUUUUACUGUUCUAACCAAAAGACCUGACAGGAAUAAUUUUAAGGAGGAAGAGUUUAUUUUGGGGGUUCAUGGUUUCAGAGGUCUGGGUCCACAGACAGCUGGCUCUAUUCCUUGGGAGUAAAGGUGAGGCAGAACAUCAUGGUGGAAAACUGCAUAGAGGAAAGUGGCUCAGAACAGCAUACUAGGAAGUAAAGAGAGGGAGAGAGACAGAGAAAAUAUAUACCCCAAAGGCAUGGCCUAAUGACCCAACUCAUCCAGCCAUACCCACCUGCCUGCAGUUAUCAUCAGUUAAUACCUAUCAGGGGAUUAAUGCACUGAUUAGGUUAAGGUGCUCACAAUCCCAUCAUUUCACCUCUAAACUUUCUUGCAUUGUUCACACAUCAGCUUUUGGGGGAUACCACAUAUCUAAACCAUAAUGGUAGUAAAAAUGGGAGUGGUCACCAGAAGUGUGUCCUAGGCAUGAGUACAAUCCUGUGGGGGCUGAGAGGGACAACAGCCUUGAAAGAACAACAUUUUUUAUAGAUGUAGUUUUCUCCUUCCUUUCUGAGAUGAAAGUUUAUAGAUUCAAGUAUCUAGGGCCUGUUGAUACAAUUAUUUCUAUCAGGAUGAUUAGGAAAAUCAGGCCUGGCUGUCUCAGAAUAAUCACAUAGCUAGUGUGAUACACUAAAUCAUGGUCCUUAAUUAUCCCAUGCCCAAAUCCCUGGAACCUGAGGAUAUGUUACCUCUUAGUAUGUUAUUCUUCUGUGACUGCACAAUUACCCCUGGAUUAUUUAUCCAUAAAAAACAUCUGAAAUACAAAAGAUGUAAGGUAAAGUUUUGUAGGAAGAAUGAAAGAAUGAGUGACACAAUCAACUAAUAUAAAUGCUCUAAUUUGCUUUAAUGAUUAGGAAAUUAAACAAGUUAAAUAGGUGCAUAUUUUUAGAACAAGCAAAGUAUACUGGAAUCAUUGAAUAAAUAAUUAUGUUAAUAAAAGAAAGACAUACAAUCUAUAUGGUGAUGAUGACUUUAAGUUUAUAAAUAAAUAAAACACACACAACAACCCAUACGUUUGCUUAGAGAAGUCAUCAGAGAAAAUGCACAAUUGUUUUUUAUUUUCUAAACUUUUGGAAUUUGUGAGGAUUAUUUUCAUUUUCAAAAAAACCAAACAACCUUAUUGUAAAGCAUUUGUUUUAUUUUAAUAUGAGAAAAAGCAAGGAAAAUAACCAGAAAUAGUGGACCCUGCUUCCAAACCACCUCUACCAAAUUCAGAAAUCCUCGCCAUCCUGCCUAAAAGGAGGAAACUCUGGUAACAAUGUCAAUAUCUCAAGGUAAAUAUUCUUCAGAAUAUGAAAAAUAAAGAUAGGUGAUGAAUAGCACUGAAAGAGGAGAAGGGGUAUUAAUUACAUCAUACUCUGAACCCAUAAAAGAGAGGGUUUAUGGGAUGAUCCUCUUGGGAUAUAUUAAAAUCUCUGAAUUUAUACCCAAGUCCCUACUCUUAGCCCAGCAUACAUACACCCAAGCUCCCUCUUUAUGCACAGACUGCACAUUAAUGCCCAGUUCCCACAUCGCGUGGAUAUAAACUCCAAGGUGAGGUAGAGUUUGAUGCAGACUGAAUGUUCUAAGGGGAAUGAGAAGUGUCACCAAAAUGCUAUGGUCAAUGGAGCCUUAGGCACAGCUCUUAUACUUAGUUCAUGUGCCUAGUGUCAAUGAGGACUGUGUGGCUCUUUCCCACAAUUCACUCAGCAACAUGCUGAGCACCCUAUUUUUCUCUGCCUGUCCACAGUAUUUUCUCCAAGGUUCAGCUGUGAAACCUCCAGCCUCCUGAGUUUACUGAGGAAAUCACUGGCUCAUACACGGGGCUUUGGCACAACCAGUGUGGGCUCUUACAGUUGGCAAGGAUUCAAAGUUUCCCCAGUGUAUUUCCCAUUGGGUUGAACAACAAACAGAUCUCAGAGAUUUGAGGAAUGUUUAGCCCUACAGGAGAGGGAGGAGAAGACGGGCAUGGAGAAGGAGAGAAGGGUGGAAAUAGAAAAGCAGGAAUGAGAAGAGGGUGGAGAAAAAAAGAGAGUGCAUCCUUUAGUCCUAAGAAAUAGCCAUUCAUCUGCCUUAAGAAAAUAAUUACUUCUAUUUUUGCUUCACUCAUUUGCCCUAAAAGAGAUUUGUCCAUUUGCAGAGAACUGCAAAUAUGAGCUCAGCAAAAUUAUCAAUAAAUUUUUGAUAAUGAUCUGUUAGCCAGGUGUAAUGGUGUAUGCCUAGAAUUGCAGCUAAUCAGGAGGCUAGGACAGGAGAAUUGGCAAGUUCAAGGCCAGUCUGGGCAAUGUAGUGAGACUCAGUCACAAAAUAAAAUCCUUAAAAAGUGGGGAGGAUACUGGAGAUGCAAAUAUGUGGCAGAGUGCUCCUGGGUUUGAUGCUCAAUACUACCAAUAAAAUAAAAUAAAAAAAGAAAGAAAAGAAAAUUGUGUGCU
rnacentral:lncRNA from 1 species